GAUGAACGCUAGCUACAGGCUUAACACAUGCAAGUCGAGGGGAAACGACAUCGAAAGCUUGCUUUUGAUGGGCGUCGACCGGCGCACGGGUGAGUAACGCGUAUCCAACCUGCCCACCACUUGGGGAUAACCUUGCGAAAGUAAGACUAAUACCCAAUGAUAUCUCUAGAAGACAUCUGAAGGAGAUUAAAGAUUUAUCGGUGAUGGAUGGGGAUGCGUCUGAUUAGCUUGUUGGCGGGGUAACGGCCCACCAAGGCGACGAUCAGUAGGGGUUCUGAGAGGAAGGUCCCCCACAUUGGAACUGGGACACGGUCCAAACUCCUACGGGAGGCAGCAGUGAGGAAUAUUGGUCAAUGGGCGAGAGCCUGAACCAGCCAAGUAGCGUGCAGGAUGACUGCCCUAUGGGUUGUAAACUGCUUUUAUAAGGGAAUAAAGUGAGCCUCGUGAGGCUUUUUGCAUGUACCUUAUGAAUAAGGACCGGCUAAUUCCGUGCCAGCAGCCGCCGUAA
rnacentral:rRNA from 1 species